rnacentral:rRNA from 1 species
UACGUAGGGUGCGAGCGUUGUCCGGAAUUAUUGGGCGUAAAGGGCUCGUAGGCGGUUUGUCGCGUCGGGAGUGAAAGCCCAGGGCUUAACCCUGGGUCGGCUUCUGAUACGGGCAGACUAGAGGUAUGUAGGGGAGAACGGAAUUCCUGGUGUAGCGGUGAAAUGCGCAGAUAUCAGGAGGAACACCGGUGGCGAAGGCGGUUCUCUGGGCAUUACCUGACGCUGAGGAGCGAAAGUGUGGGGAGCGAACAGG